UACGUAGGGUCCGAGCGUUGUCCGGAAUUAUUGGGCGUAAAGGGCUCGUAGGCGGUUUGUCGCGUCGGGAGUGAAAACACGGGGCUUAACCCCGUGCCUGCUUCCGAUACGGGCAGACUAGAGGUAUGCAGGGGAGAACGGAAUUCCUGGUGUAGCGGUGAAAUGCGCAGAUAUCAGGAGGAACACCGGUGGCGAAGGCGGUUCUCUGGGCAUUACCUUACGCUGAGGAGCGAAAGUGUGGGGAGCGAACAGG
rnacentral:rRNA from 1 species